GUACCAGACUCCUACGGGAGGCAGCAGUGGGGGAUAUUGCACAAUGGGGGGAACCCUGAUGCAGCGACGCCGCGUGGGCGAGGGAGCGCCUCGGCGCGUAAAGCCCUUUCGGCGGGGGAGAACGAUGACGGUACCCGACGAAGAAGCACCGGCUAAAUACGUGCCAGCAGCCGCGGUAAAACGUAGGGUGCAAGCGUUGUCCGGAAUUACUGGGUGUAAAGGGAGCGCAGGCGGAUUGACAAGUUGGGAGUGAAAACUACGGGCUCAACCCGUAACCUGCUUUCAAAACUGUCAGUCUUGAGUGGUGUAGAGGUAGGCGGAAUUCCCGGUGUAGCGGUGGAAUGCGUAGAUAUCGGGAGGAACACCAGUGGCGAAGGCGGCCUACUGGGCACUAACUGACGCUGAGGCUCGAAAGCAUGGGUAGCAAACAGGAUUAGAUACCCUCGUAC
rnacentral:rRNA from 1 species